rnacentral:rRNA from 1 species
GGUGAAAAGCACCCCGGAAGGGGAGUGAAAUAGAACCUGAAACCGUGUGCUUACAAGUAGUCAGAGCCCGUUAAUGGGUGAUGGCGUGCCUUUUGUAGAAUGAACCGGCGAGUUACGAUUUGAUGCAAGGUUAAGCAGUAAAUGUGGAGCCGUAGCGAAAGCGAGUCUGAAUAGGGCGUUUAGUAUUUGGUCGUAGACCCGAAACCAGGUGAUCUACCCUUGGUCAGGUUGAAGUUCAGGUAACACUGAAUGGAGGACCGAACCGACUUACGUUGAAAAGUGAGCGGAUGAACUGAGGGUAGCGGAGAAAUUCCAAUCGAACCUGGAGAUAGCUGGUUCUCUCCGAAAUAGCUUUAGGGCUAGCCUCAAGUGAUGAUUAUUGGAGGUAGAGCACUGUUUGGACGAGGGGCCCCUCUCGGGUUACCGAAUUCAGACAAACUCCGAAUGCCAAUUAAUUUAACUUGGGAGUCAGAACAUGGGUGAUAAGGUCCGUGUUCGAAAGGGAAACAGCCCAGACCACCAGCUAAGGUCCCAAAAUAUAUGUUAAGUGGAAAAGGAUGUGGCGUUGCCCAGACAACUAGGAUGUUGGCUUAGAAGCAGCCAUCAUUUAAAGAGUGCGUAAUAGCUCACUAGUCGAGUGACACUGCGCCGAAAAUGUACCGGGGCUAAACAUAUUACCGAAGCUGUGGAUUGUCCUUUGGACAAUGGUAGGAGAGCGUUCUAAGGGCGUUGAAGCAUGAUCGUAAGGACAUGUGGAGCGCUUAGAAGUGAGAAUGCCGGUGUGAGUAGCGAAAGACGGGUGAGAAUCCCGUCCACCGAUUGACUAAGGUUUCCAGAGGAAGGCUCGUCCGCUCUGGGUUAGUCGGGUCCUAAGCUGAGGCCGACAGGCGUAGGCGAUGGAUAACAGGUUGAUAUUCCUGUACCACCUAUAAUCGUUUUAAUCGAUGGGGGGACGCAGUAGGAUAGGCGAAGCGUGCGAUUGGAUUGCACGUCUAAGCAGUAAGGCUGAGUAUUAGGCAAAUCCGGUACUCAUUAAGGCUGAGCUGUGAUGGGGAGAAGACAUUGUGUCUUCGAGUCGUUGAUUUCACACUGCCGAGAAAAGCCUCUAGAUAGAAAAUAGGUGCCCGUACCGCAAACCGACACAGGUAGUCAAGAUGAGAAUUCUAAGGUGAGCGAGCGAACUCUCGUUAAGGAACUCGGCAAAAUGACCCCGUAACUUCGGGAGAAGGGGUGCUCUUUAGGGUUAACGCCCAGAAGAGCCGCAGUGAAUAGGCCCAAGCGACUGUUUAUCAAAAACACAGGUCUCUGCUAAACCGUAAGGUGAUGUAUAGGGGCUGACGCCUGCCCGGUGCUGGAAGGUUAAGAGGAGUGGUUAGCUUCUGCGAAGCUACGAAUCGAAGCCCCAGUAAACGGCGGCCGUAACUAUAACGGUCCUAAGGUAGCGAAAUUCCUUGUCGGGUAAGUUCCGACCCGCACGAAAGGCGUAACGAUUUGGGCACUGUCUCAA